CGUUAUUCUUUGAAUCAAUUUGUUUGGAUGAUUCUAUUUUCAGUGUUUACUGUUUAGUACCCUACGAAAUCGUUGACCUUUGAGAUCGUUAGAUGGCUUUAGGUAUAGAGAAUAAGUGACUAAGUAAUAGAAAGUUGGUUAAGUUACAAGAAUGAGAAACAUAUUAAUUGUGACAUCCCGAUCCCGCCCUCCCUUUUAGGAACCAGACGUGGACCGGCGAUAUCAAUCAUAAUUCCCCCAACCGUCCCUCCCAGUGAGCCCAACGCCCUCUUUAGGCCUGUGGACCUAACGUCCUCUCUCUAGGCCCGUUGGCCCAACAUCCUCUCUAGGCCCGUUGGCCCACCACUGUCCGACGGUCGGGAGUCGUUAGUCCGGAAGGCUCGUAAGACUUGUCUACUGUCCCUGCAAUCACCACAUGAUCUUUUCCCGUGCUUUGUCCUCACUCGCACGGUACCACAGAGUACUUCCCGGUAGGUCACCCAUCCUGAGAUUACUCCAGCAUCAGCACGCUUAACUCUAGAGUUCUCUCAGCACACUUGACCGGAAAAGAUAAGUGCACUUUGUUGACAUAGGUAGUCAAAUCAAUUCUUAUAAGCCUUUCCAUAUACCGGAAAUCGGGAUGUUACAAUUCUCCCCGACUUCCAAGGAAUUCAUCCCCGAAUUCUCCUUUUUACUCCCACAGUGCUUGCACCAGGAUCGUUUACCCUAUUACGGUGUGAGGCCACAUGACGACUCCACACACGUGGUUGGGUGGGCUCUGAUACCACUUGUGACAUCCCGAUCCCGCCCUCCCUAUUAGAAACCAGACGUGGACUGGUGAUAUCAAUCCUAACUCCCCCCAACCGUCCCUCCUAGUGAGUCCAACACCCUCUCUAGGCCCGUGGGCCCAACGUCCUCUCUAAGCCUGUUGGCCCACCACUAUCUGACGGUCGGGAGUCGUUAGUCCGGAAGGCUCGUAAGACUUGUCUACUGUCCCUGCAAUCACCACAUGAUCUUUCCCUGUGCUUUGUCCUCACUCGCACGGUACCGCAGAGUACUUCCCGGUAGGUCACCCAUCCUGAGAUUACUCCAGCAUCAGCACGCUUAACUCUAGAGUUCUCUCAGCACACUUGACCGGAAAAGAUAAG
rnacentral:lncRNA from 1 species